AACGAACGCUGGCGGCAUGCCUAACACAUGCAAGUCGAACGAAGUCUUCGGACUUAAGUGGCGCACGGGUGCGUAACGCGUGGGAAUCUGCCCUUGGGUGCGGAAUAACUUCUCGAAAGGGAUGCUAAUACCGCAUAAUGUCGUAAGACCAAAGAUUUAUCGCCCAAGGAUGAGCCCGCGUAAGAUUAGCUAGUUGGUGGGGUAAAAAGCCUACCAAGGCGACGAUCUUUAGCUGGUCUGAGAGGAUGAUCAGCCACACUGGGACUGAGACACGGCCCAGACUCCUACGGGAGGCAGCAGUGGGGAAUAUUGGACAAUGGGCGAAAGCCUGAUCCAGC
rnacentral:rRNA from 1 species